rnacentral:misc_RNA from 1 species
GAUGAAGAACGCAGCGAAAUGCGAUAAGUAAUGUGAAUUGCAGAAUUCAGUGAACCAUCGAAUCUUUGAACGCACAUUGCGCCCGGCAGUAAUCUGCCGGGCAUGCCUGUCCGAGCGUCAUUUCUACCCUCCAGCGAGUCCAGCAUCUAGGUGCUGGGCCUCGCCCGGCGUUGGAGCACUACGGGAAGCCCUGUGCUGUCCCCCGUAGGCCCCGAAAUGAAGUGGCGGUCCUGCCGCGGCGCCCCCUGCGUAGUAUAACAGCUCGCUUCGGGACCCGGUGGAGGCCUGCCGUCAAACCUAUACUCUCUAAGUUUGACCUCGGAUCAGGUAGGGUUACCCGCUGAACUUAAGCAUAUCAAUAAGCGGAGGA